rnacentral:rRNA from 1 species
UACGUAGGGCGCGAGCGUUGUCCGGAAUUAUUGGGCGUAAAGAGCUCGUAGGCGGCCUGUCGCGUCCGCUGUGAAAUCCCGGGGCUUAACCCCGGGCCUGCAGUGGAUACGGGCAGGCUGGAGGCAGGCAGGGGAGAACGGGAAUUCCCGGCGUAGCGGUGAAAUGCGCAGAUAUCAGGAGGAACACCGGUGGCGAAGGCGGAUCUCUGGGCCAUUACUGGCGCUGAGGAGCGAAAGCGUGGGGAGCGAACAGG